GGGCUACCGGAGUUCACUCCCAACCCAUGUGAACAUACCUACUGUUGCUUCGGCGGGAUUGCCCCGGGCGCCUCGUGUGCCCCGGAUCAGGCGCCCGCCUAGGAAACUUAACUCUUGUUUUAUUUUGGAAUCUUCUGAGUAGUUUUUACAAAUAAAUAAAAACUUUCAACAACGGAUCUCUUGGUUCUGGCAUCGAUGAAGAACGCAGCGAAAUGCGAUAAGUAAUGUGAAUUGCAGAAUUCAGUGAAUCAUCGAAUCUUUGAACGCACAUUGCGCCCGCCAGUAUUCUGGCGGGCAAUGCCUGUCUGAGCGUCAUUUCAACCCUCAUGCCCCUAGGGCGUGGUGUUGGGGAUCGGCCAAAGCCCGCGAGGGACGGCCGGCCCCUAAAUCUAGUGGCGGACCCGUCGUGGCCUCCUCUGCGAAGUAGUGAUAUUCCGCAUCGGAGAGCGACGAGCCCCUGCCGUUAAACCCCCAACUUUCCAAGGUUGACCUCAGAUCAGGUAGGAAUACCCGCUGAACUUAAGCAUAUCAAUAAGCGGAGGAAAA
rnacentral:misc_RNA from 1 species